ACGGGUGAGUAACGCGUGGGAAUCUACCGUACCCUACGGAAUAGCUCUGGGAAACUGGAAGUAAUACCGUAUACGCCCGCAAGGGGAAAGAUUUAUCGGGGUAUGAUGAGCCCGCGUUGGAUUAGCUAGUUGGUGGGGUAAAGGCCUACCAAGGCGACGAUCCAUAGCUGGUCUGAGAGGAUGAUCAGCCACAUUGGGACUGAGACACGGCCCAAACUCCUACGGGAGGCAGCAGUGGGGAAUAUUGGACAAUGGGGGCAACCCUGAUCCAGCCAUGCCGCGUGAGUGAUGAAGGUCUUAGGAUUGUAAAGCUCUUUCAACGGUGAAGAUAAUGACGGUAACCGUAGAAGAAGCCCCGGCUAACUUCGUGCCAGCAGCCGCGGUAAUACGAAGGGGGCUAGCGUUGUUCGGAAUUACUGGGCGUAAAGCGCACGUAGGCGGGUAUUUAAGUCAGGGGUGAAAUCCCGCAGCUCAACUGCGGAACUGCCUUUGAUACUGGGUAUCUUGAGUAUGGAAGAGGUAAGUGGAAUUGCGAGUGUAGAGGUGAAAUUCGUAGA
rnacentral:rRNA from 1 species